rnacentral:lncRNA from 1 species
ACACUGCCAGAUUCAGAAAGAGAAGUGUGAGAAGAUAACUACUGUUGAAACCCAACGCAGAGAUAGAUAAAUAGCUAGUCGAGAGAGAGAGAGAGACCGAGAGUAUCUCCAGGAGCAAAGCUCUUGCCAUUAGCCCAAUUGGCAUACGACAUGGAGAAGCCCCAUCCUUGUGAGUCCCCCACGACAUGGGUGGUUGCGAGGGAGUUUAACGGCGAGCAAGCGAUGAGCAGUAUGGAGAGCAGCAAAGCUGCGUUGCGACUGCCCCUUCCCAUGGCCAUAGUCU